rnacentral:lncRNA from 1 species
UCUGGAGAUCUCACCAUCAUCAGGAAUGUGUUAUGCACAAAGAGCAGGACUCUGCAUUCAUCAAUUGGAUGAUCUUGGAAUAAAGCUGUUCAUGUCUGUCUAUGUACAGUUCCAGUCCAUCAUCAAUCUAUUUUAUCCUUUUGUCUGUCCUCGUUUUUCAGCCAUUAAUUCUUUAGGGCAGUGACUGUUUUUGCUAGAAGUUUAUUUAGCCUCUAACCACAAUCUGGAGUCAAUAUGCAGUAGUGUAAUAUGACUAAUUAAUAAUCAGGUCAGACUGAUUUUGUGAUGUUUCACCUCGGGGAUGUGAAAUCCUGUUUGUCUGCCUCACAUACUGGUGAGCAAAAAUUGCACCUACCAAAGCCUCAGUUCCAUUCCCUGUCUAUAAAACAGCAUGAACUCCCUGGUAGGGAGUUGUCAGAGUUGAUCCAUUCUUUGUACAGUACGGAGAUACAAAUGGCUAGCAAGAUACAUGUUAUUGCAGCUACUUUAGUUCGUUUGCUUUGUUUUUGAACAAGUGAUCAGGCAAACUAUGUCUAUUUGCUGGCUCUUUAAAAUCUGUCACCAUAUUCCUUGCUUGAACUGUAAUUGCUACAAAGCACAAAGUCACGCUAUCACAGAUUGUCUCAAAGCUUAAGCCAAGCAAGCACUCAUAAAAAGGUAUUAAUGGAGACACUGCUCUGCCACUUGACUUCAAUACGUCGACUACACUGAUGGCAAUGCCUUUGCCAUGAAAAUAGAUCCUACGUAGGAUCAAUUGGUGCUGUCCCUGCUGCCACACUUGGUAUUUGUGUUACUGAAGGAAGCUGUGAGAUGCUUGUGGGCUCUGCUGCCUCAGCUAUUUCCACAGUAUACUCCAGUUGCUUUGAUUUAUUUGUUGGAAAAAGCUGGAUUCUCUGUGGAAAAUGUCUGUGAGUAAUCCACGCUGAUAUGCUUGCAAGUGGUUCAGCAAGAGACUGGAAAUGAGAGUUCAGGCCAGUGUUCUCCCAGGAUUGUUUGUGGCUGGUUGUAGAUGAGUGAAAUGGGAAGAUUUAAGGCUGCUUUGCUGCUAAGCUUGGUUUCACUGCCAAGUGUCUACUAAUGCUUAGAGAGCAUAGAUUGGACUGGAAAGAAAAAUUCCUUUCCUGACUGGUGCACCCCCUGGUGCACAUCGCUAUCUGAGAUGGAGAGGUUUUUAUUUGUUUGUAUCAGCACAGUGCCCCUGUCAUGAACCUCUCUGAGAGCUCACAGACCUGCUCCAAACAUAGAUUCCAGCACUUGGAGGUUCAUAUCCAGCUGGAGCCCUGACAGAGGCAGAGAAAAGCAUAGUGCCACGACCUGAUCUAUAUUUGAAGCUGAAGAAAGCACAGUCGGUGCAGUAAAGCUUAAAGCCCAGCAUGAGCCCUGAGAGUCUUAGUUUGCAUUCCCAAAAUGGUCACAGACCCUCCCUGGGAACUGAGGCAGGUGUGCUAAUCACAAACAUGGUUUGAACCUAUGGGAACUUGCUUGUGGUUCCCCAAGAUGUGAUGAAAAGGAAACUCUUGGUUUCAGGAAAAGCUUAUUAUGUUCUUCAGUCACCCCCACCUCUGGGCCAACCCUUUCAUGUCUCCCCUUAGUCAUUAAUAAUGCUAAUUUUGCCCAAUAUUCCCAGGCUUCUGCUAACUAAAUGGACAGGACCUCAGAUCCUAGUUCUCUUACAACUCGUGAAGAGCAGCUCAGAAGAAAGGGAAAAAAAAAAGUGAAAUGCAGUGUAGAAGAAGCAGUUUCUUAUUGAAUCACACAGUGAACAGCUUCCAGAGCCAGGCAAGUGUCAUGCUGCAUUGUCUUGGGCUGCCCAGCCACCAGUGGGUAUAAAAUAAUUACUCUGUAUGUCCUCUUUUUAGGGUACAACAGAUAUAGUGAUGCUUGAACAGGAGAUCAGUGCAAGUGAGCAUUAGUUAAGGAGCUGAAUGGGCUUGAGAGUCAUGGACCAUAAUAGAUGGCAGUGAAAUGUAAGCAAUACUAAUGGUACGAGAAGCAAGUCUUCCAGAUGGAGAGUCUGCAAGGGUCAGAACCAGGUGGCUGAAUUCUCACAGGUGAAGUUUUGCGUUAUUUGAUGCUGAAAUAGUACUGGCACAAACUGUGUGUAGCGGGACUCUGAAGUAAAUGUCACUCCGAAAAGAUGGCAUUAGGAUUAUGGGGGCAAUCAGUGUUUUUUAUUGAGCAUAGCAGGAAGAAAAUGAAAGCUGUAAAAUGCCACUGUGGGUAAACAUUAUUUGCAUAUCUAGAAUAUGAACUUCUGUCCCUUCUUAAGUUCAUGGCAAUGACCGAGGUUUUAUCCUUACCUGCACAUCAUGAGUUUAAGCUGGUUAAAGAGAAACUAACAAGACUGGAGAAUUAAAAUGAGAGUAAGUGUUUUUCCAAAACUGCUCUGUAGCAAACAGCCCAGCACAGAGGAAGCUGCUGUGAAGCCACUGUGACUGGAAAAGGACAAUUGCUGAUAUGAGCUGCAGGGAGUGGAAUCCAGCAGAAAAGAUCUCCUGGGGAUGGCUCUCCUUAGGGACACUGCUGCCCAGCCCCCUUUGAAGGAACCUGCAAAGAUCUGAAUUUCUGCUUACAGUUUCCUUCCCUGGAGGGCAGUUACAGUGAAAGCAGUGUGCACAGACUAUUCCUAUUUGUAAUGCAGCUACUGGUGUUUGGUUCCCACAACCCAGUGUGUCUGAACAGCACAGCAAUAAUAUCAUAUGCAUAGCUUAGCCCUUGAGAGUAGUUGCUGAGACCCUGGAGAGCCAUUCAGGGAUGGAAGAGUUCAUUUUGAAGCUUUGCAAGGGGACUCAUAAUACCAGUAAUAAAUAACACACCGGUCCACGUUCCAGGUUCUCCCCUUCACCUGGGAUUAAGACAGUGCUUUCUGAGCAAUUAAAAGAGGGUCUGAAAAGUCAUGCAGGGACAGACAUUCAGUUACUGUGUUCCGAAGGUGUUUAGCAGCAGGUUUAUGUAGUGCUUUUGCAAAUAGACAAACAGGAUCCAGAGGAAGUGAGGUUUCUGCAUACCAGUGCCCAGUCUCCAAAGGAAGGUGGCAUUCAGUGUGUCACCAUCCCUCCAAGGGCAGGACCCUCCCGUGCUGGGCACAUUCCAAGAAUUUUUUUUGUAAUGGAGGAGCACAACAAGGGCUGUAGUAAAGAUACUUGGAAUCAAACAGGUUUUGAGCACGAAUUUGGUGUUUGCUGUGUUGAAACAGCGAGACUGUUUCAACGAGGACGGCUGUGGUACUUCCUCCUCAUUGCUUGACCUGAUUUUUUGUGUGUAUCCUGCAGGUUUCACUUUGUCACAGCUAGGGCACCCUUUAACCCAUUAGAGGCUGCAUGGGUCUGCCUGUGAAAGGAGAAUGGGAAUUGGAGGUUAAAGAUGGCUCCAAGGUCCCAUGGGAUUUGGAACAUGAUGGGCUUCUAUAUUCAGGAUGGCUGUGUUGCAUUAACUCAAGCCUCCUCAGUCCGUUCAGUUGGAACUCAAAUGUCCUGUUUUUGCAUAAAGCUGAACAGCUUUGAUCUCUGGUGUAAGAGCGAAUUUCUGUGCCCUGUCAGAGUUUGGCAAGGAGCAGAAUCACUUCUCCAUAUCAUUACUGUAAAGAAUUGAUAGAGAGCAAACUUCUGAGUUACACUCCUGGAGCAGACAUUUAGCAAGGCUGUGUUGUUAGGGGCAAGAAGCUGUGAAGGCUUUACCCAGGAAGUGCUGGCUGUGAAUGAGGCAAUCUCGGGUUGUUUGAAUUGCAGACGGCAUCGCUGCCUGUCCUCUUUCACCCUGGGCUUUCCACUGCUGAUGUUGGCCUGGAAACAAAACGACACUUGCUAUGGAUUUCUCUGGGGAAGUUGCUGAUCCCUCAGCACAAGUGAGGCAACCCGCACCCUGCGAGCCCCAUGUGGCUUCAUGCACUUGUGGAAAAACUGCAGCUUUCACUUAGAAGUACUGCUGGAAAGGGUGCUUGGCUUUGCAUCAUAUGAGGUGCUUAGUAAGUAAAAUCAUAAAUUAAAAAAUUCUUCAAAAUGCUGUCCUCACUGCCUGGCCCUCUGCUCAGCCAAAGUCCUUCCUUUUUAACUUCUCUGCACUUAAUAGUUUAUUUUUAUUUUUCAGUCUUGUGGUGACUUUUUUUUUGUUUUCUAAUGAAAGGUGUAAGAUAUAACUCACCAUUUAUAGAGAGCUCACACACCUGCAUUGUUGCAGGAUGCAGGUAAUUUAGGCACUGGUUUUACAUUCCAGAAUAAUUUACGUUUAUUACCUGGCAGUGACCCCAGAUCUUGGAAAACCCAGGUUUGUUGAUCUGCAGUUUACGAUCUUGCCGUAAUUUUUUGUUUUAUUUCCCAAGCACUUUGCCGACUUACUGAGGUCUCCAGCAUAGAAAUAGUUUUCUCUGGAGUUUUGCUCUCUGCUUUACUUUCCCUUCUCUUCCGGAAAAACGCCCACAACAAUAGAGGGAAAACCUCACCUUGCAGCAUGCACCUCCAUAACUUCAGAGCUCAUCUGGAUCUUUGAUGUGCUAAUGCUCAGCACAGAGAUGCAGGCAAUGAAUAUUUGGGCAGAGUGACACUUCACCUCCUGCACACCGUAUUGCCCUCAAAAACGGUGUUUCCUUCACCCAGCUCGUGCAGGCAGCAUGCAGCUCAGACUGUCAGUGGAAGCACCACUUUGAAGAGGACUUUUGUACCAGCCGUGUGGUUUGCAGGUUAUAUUAUGCCUUGGGAAUCCUUCCUCGGAGCCAAGAUCAGAGCAAGUUGUGUCUUGUCCUGCAGAGCAGUUCAGAAGUGCCAGUGGAGACUUAAGAAGCAGUGGGGCCUCAAUUCAGAAAGCUGUGCCAGUUCUGCUGGGCUGAUGGCUCAUACGAGGCAGUCAUACACAGCCCCACAGAAUCAUUAAGGUUCAAAAAGACCUCUAGGAUGAUCCAGUCCAACCAUCUGCCUAAGACCAAUUUUGCCCACCAGACCACGUCCCUAAAUAGUGCAUCUCCACGGAUCUGUCACUGGUCAUUCCCCCUGGCCAAUGCAAGCAGUUC